rnacentral:rRNA from 1 species
CCUACGGGAGGCUGCAGUAGGGAAUCUUCCGCAAUGGGCGCAAGCCUGACGGAGCGACGCCGCGUGAGUGAUGAAGGCCUUCGGGUCGUAAAGCUCUGUUCUUGAGGACGAAUAAGCCAGGGAGUGGAAAGCCCUGGUGAUGACUGUACUCAAGGAGAAAGCUCCGGCUAACUACGUGCCAGCAGCCGCGGUAAAACGUAGGGGGCGAGCGUUGUCCGGAAUUACUGGGCGUAAAGGGCUCGUAGGCGGUAACUCAAGUCAGUUGUGAAAACCGACGGCUUAACCGGAGGAUUGCAGUUGAUACUGGGUUACUUGAGGCAAGGAGAGGAAGGUGGAAUUCCCGGUGUAGCGGUGAUAUGCGUAGAUAUCGGGAGGAACCCCAGUGGCGAAGGCGGCCUUCUGGUCUUGACCUGACGCUGAGGAGCGAAAGCCAGGGUAGCGAACGGGAUUAGAUACCCGGGUAGUC